CUCUCUCCUCUUUGUCCAUCCUUCCCAGACGCUUCCUCCACACACUCGCACGUACCCUCCCAACACACACACACACACGCGUGCGCACCUUCUCUCGCUCUCAAGCUUCCCGCCCGUGUGUGCGUCCGCUCGUGUUUUCAUCUGGGUGCUCCCACGGCAGGAACAGCGAACGACCAUCUCGGCAAAGGUGUUACCGCGGCGACAGACCUUUGAGUCAACCCAUCCUUCACAAUCUGGCUCAUCCUGUCAUCG
ensembl:lncRNA